UUAGGUAGAGCGUUGCGUGAUUACCGACGGGGGUAGAGCACUGGAUGGGCUAGGGGGGAGAUAAUCCUUACCAAACCUAACCAAACUCCGAAUACCGACGAGUUCAGCAUGGCAGACAGACUGCGGGUGCUAAGGUCCGUAGUCGAAAGGGAAACAGCCCAGACCGCCAGCUAAGGUCCCCAAGUCAUGGCUAAGUGGGAAAGGAUGUGGGAAGGCCAAUACAACCAGGAGGUUGGCUUAGAAGCAGCCAUCCUUUAAAGAAAGCGUAACAGCUCACUGGUCUAAAUAAGCCAUCCUGCGCCGAAGAUGUAUCGGGGCUCAAGCCAUGCACCGAAGCUGCGGGUAUCAGAGGACAGUUGACAGAUGUCAAAGGACAGAAAAGAGCUGUCCGAGGCAGGCUCGUUCGAAGUCUUGGACGUCUUCGAGCGGGUCUAUCGGAUAUUUCUUGAAGUCCACAGGGCCGAUCUAUGUUUUUCGGAUGGAAAGCAUAGGGCGAUGGCCGACCAGGUUCGGCGUGUGAGCAAAUCCAUCUGCGCGAGUAUUGCGGAAGGGUUUGGCAGGCAGAGCCAGGCGCCGGCGAAUUUCCAGCGUUUCUUGACGGUGGCGGUCGGAUCGAGCAAUGAGAUGCGGGUGUGGCCCGCUUCUGUUUCGAUCUGAGCGACAUUGAUGAAGAGCGUUGGCAGCACUGGUGCAACGAGUUUAAGGAGAUUUCAAAGAUGCUUCGGGAUUUGGCGAAAGCCAUCUCGAAUAGUAUCUGAUCUCUGACUUCUGUCAUCUGUCCUCUGAUGCGGUAGCGGAGCGUUCCGUAAGCCUGUGAAGGUGUCCUGCGAGGGGCGCUGGAGGUAUCGGAAGUGAGAAUGCUGACAUGAGUAGCGACAAAGAGUGUGAGAAACACUCUCGCCGUAAGUCCAAGGGUUCCUGCGCAAGGCUAAUCCGCGCAGGGUGAGCCGGCCCCUAAGGCGAGGGCGAAAGCCGUAGUCGAUGGGAAUCAGGUUAAUAUUCCUGAGCCUGCUGGAAGUGACGAAUGCCGUGAAUUGUAUCCGCUUAUCGGAUUGUGGAUGCGGUGAAGGUGUUCCAGGAAAUAACUCCAGCUUAUAGACCGUACCCUAAACCGACACAGGUGGAUUGGUAGAGUAUACCCAGGCGCUUGAGAGAACGAUGUUGAAGGAACUCGGCAAAAUACCUCCGUAACUUCGGGAGAAGGAGGCCCUCGGCGUGGGCAACCAUGUUGGGGGGGCACAGACCAGGGGGUGGCGACUGUUUAUUAAAAACACAGGGCUCUGCGAAGCCGCAAGGCGAAGUAUAGGGUCUGACGCCUGCCCGGUGCUGGAAGGUUAAGAGGAGCGGUUAGAGUAAUCGAAGCUGCGAAUCGAAGCCCCAGUAAACGGCGGCCGUAACUAUAACGGUCCUAAGGUAGCGAAAUUCCUUGUCGGGUAAGUUCCGACCUGCACGAAUGGCGUAACGACUUCCCCGCUGUCUCCAACAUCAACUCAGUGAAAUUGAAUUCUCCGUGAAGAUGCGGAGUUCCCGUGGUUAGACGGAAAGACCCCGUGCACCUUUACUGCAACUUUACAUUGGUAUCAGAAACG
rnacentral:rRNA from 1 species